AGCAGCCGCGGUAAUUCCAGCUCCAAUAGCGUAUAUUAAAGUUGUUGCAGUUAAAAAGCUCGUAGUUGAAUUUCGGGACCAAUUUGUUGGUCGUGCCUCGGUACGUACUGGUAUUAUUGGUUUCUCCCUUCUGAAGAACCUCGAUGUCAUUAAUUUGGUGUCGUGGGGAAUCAGGACUGUUACUUUGAAAAAAUUAGAGUGUUUAAAGCAGGCAUACGCUUGAAUACAUUAGCAUGGAAUAAUGAAAUAGGACGUUUGAUUCUAUUUUGUUGGUUUCUAGAAUCGACGUAAUGAUUAAUAGGGAUAGUUGGGGGCAUUAGUAUUCAAUUGUCAGAGGUGAAAUUCUUGGAUUUAUUGAAGACUAACUACUGCGAAAGCAUUUGCCAAGGAUGUUUUCAUUAAUCAAGAACGAAAGUUAGGGGAUCGAAGACGAUCAGAUACCGUCGUAGUCUUAACCAUAAACUAUGCCGACUAGGGAUCGGAUGAUGUAAUUUUUAAUGACUCAUUCGGCGCCUUACGG
rnacentral:rRNA from 1 species